CUACAGCCAUACCAUCCUGAACGCACCUGAUCUCUGAUCUCAGAAGCUAAGCAGGGUCGGGUCUGGUCAGUAUUCACAUGGGAAAAGUAAAAACUAAUGCAUUUUAGA
rnacentral:rRNA from 1 species